AUUGAACGCUAGCGGGAUGCGUAACACAUGCAAGUCGAACGAGUGGCGGACGGGUGAGUAAUAUAUGGGAACGUGCCCAGUAGCGGGGGAUAACUACUCGAAAGAGUGGCUAAUACCGCAUACUAUUGGCGGUGCCGAGAUGGGAUUAGCUAGGUGGUGGGGUAAAGGCGCACAAAGGAGAAGAUCCGUAGCUGGUCUGAGAGGACGACCAGCCACACUGGGACUGAGACACGGCCCAGACUCCUACGGGAGGCAGAAGUGUGGAAGUUUGGACAAUGGGCGCAACCCUGAUCCAGCCAUCCCGCGUGUAUGAGAAGGCCUUCGGUUUGUAAAGUACUUUUGGCAGAGAAGCGGUAUCCGCAGAAUAAGCACCGGCUAACUCCGUGCCAGCAGCCGCGGUAAUUC
rnacentral:rRNA from 1 species